AUUGAACACUGGCGGCAUGCUUUACACAUGCCAGUCGAACGGCAGCGGGGAGGAGCUUGCUUCUCUGCCGGCGAGUGGCGAACGGGUGAGUAAUACAUCGGAACGUGUCGAGAAGAGGGGGAUAACCACCCGAAAGGGUGGCUAAUACCGCAUAAAUUCUGAGGAAGAAAGCUGGGGACCUAGGAAUAGGCCUAGCGCUUUUUGAGCGGCCGAUGUCGGAUUAGCUAGUUGGUGAGGUAAAGGCUCACCAAGGCGAAGAUCUGUAGCGGGUCUGAGAGGAUGAUCCGCCACACUGGGACUGAGACACGGCCCAGACUCCUACGGGAGGCAGCAGUGGGGAAUUUUGGACAAUGGGGGCAACCCUGAUCCAGCCAUGCCGCGUGUAUGAAGAAGGCCUUAGGGUUGUAAAGUACUUUUGUUAGGGAAGAAAAGUCAGCUGUGAAUAAGGGCCGAUACUGACGGUACCUAAAGAAUAAGCACCGGCUAACUACGUG
rnacentral:rRNA from 1 species